rnacentral:rRNA from 1 species
AUACGAUCUAAGGAUGAAANCGGGGGAGUCGCAAGACCUCGCGCGAUUGGAGCGGCCGAUAUCAGAUUAGGUAGUUGGUGAGGUAAAGGCUCACCAAGCCAACGAUCUGUAGCUGGUCUGAGAGGACGACCAGCCACACUGGAACUGAGACACGGUCCAGACUCCUACGGGAGGCAGCAGUGGGGAAUUUUGGACAAUGGACGCAAGUCUGAUCCAGCCAUUCCGCGUGCAGGAUGAAGGCCCUCGGGUUGUAAACUGCUUUUGUACGGAACGAAAAGGUUUCUAUUAAUACUAGGAGCUCAUGACGGUACCGUAAGAAUAAGCACCGGCUAACUACGUG